rnacentral:rRNA from 1 species
UACGAAGGGGGCUAGCGUUGCUCGGAAUGACUGGGCGUAAAGGGCGCGUAGGCGGUUUGUACAGUCAGGUGUGAAAUUCCCGGGCUCAACCUGGGGGCUGCACUUGAUACGUAUGGACUGGAGUGGGGAAGAGGGUCGUGGAAUUCCCAGUGUAGAGGUGAAAUUCGUAGAUAUUGGGAAGAACACCGGUGGCGAAGGCGGCGACCUGGUCCAUUACUGACGCUGAGGCGCGACAGCGUGGGGAGCAAACAGG